rnacentral:misc_RNA from 1 species
CUGCAUGACGGGAUCGCAAGCAACGCACAGGCGAUCUCUAACCUGUCGAGGGUUUUGGAGGAGGAGGACGACAACAAUUCGUUUGGCCCAGCACUGAAGGCAGCUGCCGUUGACAUCCUAGCAGAACUGGCGUUGCCUUCGUCAGACAGGUCUGCCGCCUCGAGGUCGAGGCUGCUGGGCAAGGCUGACAUCAUCAGGGGGCUGUGGUGCAUCUUCCUUGUUCAAGUGGAUGGUGGCGUUGACGGCAGCAACAUUCAGGGAGAUGAGGAACAGCGACAGCAGGAUAGCACACUGAGGAAGAAAGCUAGGGAAGCACUGGCACAUGCUGCCUGCAGAACUGCGUCAUGGAAGGACGAUGCGAUUGAGAUGCUGACAAAGGUUCUUCAUCUGAUUCUACUGGUCCCAAGCGAAUCAAACAAGCUGGAAACGGAUGUAAAAGGCGACGAGGAGCAGCAAGAAGAAGAAGAGGAAUUCCUGGUGGCCCUGCUAUCACUUGCCGUGGUCAUAUGUGACGGCAUGGUCGAUGAACAUGGCUUCACCUGUGCUGCCCCUAAAGACAUGGUGUCUCUGGUGAGAAAGCUCAAGGACAUAAUACUACAGGCUAACAACAACAACAACAACAACACGUUCCAAUGCCUGCGGACAGUGAAGCUUACCUGCCAGCUGGUUGUUUCAAUGGCACAGCUCAAGCCCAUGUGCAUCAAAGACUUCACGGAGCACGAUUUCAUGGACGUGCUAUCUGAAUCGUCUUUCAAGACAUUGUCAGAUCUCGAUAACUGCCUCGUGUUAUUUGAGGCCGAUGAUCGUUAUCAGUAUCAGGUGACGAAGACUGCAGAUGAGCCACUGGUUUCGCUUGUGAAGAAAGCUCAACAACUCUUCCACAAAAGCAACGACAAGAACCUGGUUGGUAAUGUGCUUGCCUAG